UGCCUAAACACAACUAAAGACUUGUUUGAAGGUGAAGGCAGUCAGAGGACAGAAGAAAAAAGUGGUACCUUGAUUUCCUGGUCUCACAAAAAAGCCAAGAAACCAUACUCCAGAAGAGCUGAAGAGAUAUGAAGGGAUUCUAUGGAUUUGAUCUUUUCAGUUUACUCAAAAGAUGAUUACAUAGUGCAUAAAUAUUAUGAGAAAUAGUUUGAAAACAUCAUUAGCCUAGUAGAUGAAAGCAAAAGAAUAUUAAAAGGCUGAAAGAUAAAGU
rnacentral:lncRNA from 1 species